rnacentral:rRNA from 1 species
AUGAGAUUUCUUUCUACGGAUAUGAAGGAUAGAAAUAUGUUAUUUGCUGCUAUUCCAUCUAUUUGUGCAUCAAGUCCGAAGAAGAUCUCAAUCUAUAAUGAAGAAAUGAUAGUAGCUCGUUGUUUUAUAGGCUUUCUCAUAUUCAGUCGGAAGAGUUUAGGUAAGACUUUCAAAGAAACUCUCGACGGGAGAAUCGAGUCUAUUCAGGAAGAAUUGAUGCAAUUCUUCAAUCCUAACUAA